GACGAACGCUGGCGGCGUGCUUAACACAUGCAAGUCGAACGGAAAGGCCCUGCUUUUGUGGGGUGCUCGAGUGGCGAACGGGUGAGUAACACGUGAGUAACCUGCCCUUGACUUUGGGAUAACUUCAGGAAACUGGGGCUAAUACCGGAUAGGAGCUCCUGCUGCAUGGUGGGGGUUGGAAAGUUUCGGCGGUUGGGGAUGGACUCGCGGCUUAUCAGCUUGUUGGUGGGGUAGUGGCUUACCAAGGCUUUGACGGGUAGCCGGCCUGAGAGGGUGACCGGCCACAUUGGGACUGAGAUACGGCCCAGACUCCUACGGGAGGCAGCAGUGGGGAAUAUUGCACAAUGGGCGGAAGCCUGAUGCAGCAACGCCGCGUGCGGGAUGACGGCCUUCGGGUUGUAAACCGCUUUCGCCUGUGACGAAGCGUGAGUGACGGUAAUGGGUAAAGAAGCACCGGCUAACUACGUGCCAGCAGCCGCGGUGAUACGUAGGGUGCGAGCGUUGUCCGGAUUUAUUGGGCGUAAAGGGCUCGUAGGUGGUUGAUCGCGUCGGAAGUGUAAUCUUGGGGCUUAACCCUGAGCGUGCUUUCGAUACGGGUUGACUUGAGGAAGGUAGGGGAGAAUGGAAUUCCUGGUGGAGCGGUGGAAUGCGCAGAUAUCAGGAGGAACACCAGUGGCGAAGGCGGUUCUCUGGGCCUUUCCUGACGCUGAGGAGCGAAAGCGUGGGGAGCGAACAGGCUUAGAUACCCUGGUAGUCCACGCUGUAAACGGUGGGUACUAGGUGUGGGGUCCAUUCCACGGGUUCCGUGCCGUAGCUAACGCUUUAAGUACCCCGCCUGGGGAGUACGGCCGCAAGGCUAAAACUCAAAGGAAUUGACGGGGCCCCGCACAAGCGGCGGAGCAUGCGGAUUAAUUCGAUGCAACGCGUAGAACCUUACCUGGGUUUGACAUGGAUCGGGAGUGCUCAGAGAUGGGUGUGCCUCUUUUGGGGUCGGUUCACAGGUGGUGCAUGGCUGUCGUCAGCUCGUGUCGUGAGAUGUUGGGUUAAGUCCCGCAACGAGCGCAACCCUUGUUCACUGUUGCCAGCACGUUAUGGUGGGGACUCAGUGGAGACCGCCGGGGUCAACUCGGAGGAAGGUGGGGAUGACGUCAGGUCAUCAUGCCCCUUAUGUCCAGGGCUUCACGCAUGCUACAAUGGCUGGUACAGAGAGUGGCGAGCCUGUGAGGGUGAGCGAAUCUCGGAAAGUCGGUCUCAGUUCGGAUUGGGGUCUGCAACUCGACCUCAUGAAGUCGGAGUCGCUAGUAAUCGCAGAUCAGCAACGCUGCGGUGAAUACGUUCCCGGGGCU
rnacentral:rRNA from 1 species